GAGACAGGGAAUGGAAGCACCAUGAUGUCACCAGACCGGCCAGCAGAGCCAGGAGACCCAGGCAACUUCUAAAACAACACAGGUCCUUUGAUUUCAACGAGCUGCAAUUAUCAAAGGGAAGACUCCAAGUUAGCGCCUCAGAAAGCUCAGAGGGUUUCCUGUGAAGGAAAUGAAUCAAUGAAUUGUCAUGCAGAAAAAAUCAGCAUAAAUCAAUGAAGCCUUACAAAGUCAAGCCUUCAAGAAGGUCCACACCAAGGAG